UACGUAGGGUGCAAGCGUUGUUCGGAAUUACUGGGCGUAAAGGGCCAGUAGGCGGCCAACUAAGUCGGACGUGAAAUCCCCAGGCUCAACCUGGGAACUGCGUCCGAUACUGGAUGGCUUGAAUUCGGGAGAGGGAUGCAGAAUUCCAGGUGUAGCGGUGAAAUGCGUAGAUAUCUGGAGGAAUACCGGUGGCGAAGGCGGCAUCCUGGACCGACAUUGACGCUGAACGGCGAAAGCUAGGGGAGCAAACGGG
rnacentral:rRNA from 1 species